rnacentral:lncRNA from 1 species
GAGUCACUCUCAGGGUGGGCCAAAGGGUAUCACAGAGACAGCCCGGCCCUGGAGCCAUGCAGACCAGGAGCCGGGUGCCACCUCCAACACCAACUCACAGUGACUUUGGGCAAGUCCUUUUUUUGUCUUGAACCUCAGUGGGCCUAGUCUUGGCAACUGUGCAGUCGAGUGUCCAGCCCAGGGUCUAGACCAGAGCCAGUGGCAGCAAACAGCCCUGUUAUCAAGAAGCAACAUAACAAGAAGAAAGGAGAAAAAAGGUGCCCUAACUGUAAAAUAGGGCUGGCAACAGGACCCGGCCCUUGCCCUUGUGAAAACGAAGCCAGCUGAUACCCAAGGCCUGCCACAGAAUCAGCCCCCAUCCUGAGCCUGCAUCAGCCAAGAAGGAAAAAGGUUCCACAGCCAACUGCAACCAGUGCUUUGCCUACAGGAUAUUCCAUUUGGAGCCCCAGGCCCAUGUGGCCCUUCUGCCAGAGCCAGGGAGCCCACUGCAGCCCUGAGGGCACUCACAUGGACAUGUUCUGGAAGCCUGUGCCAUUCUCCCAGCUGUCGAAGACGGGGAUUGUGCAGGGUGAGAGAAUGGUCCUCCAUGGCCCAGGGACAUCACCCAGGCAGCACUACCCACUGGGUGCAUAGGUGCAUGCCGACAGGGAAACUGAGGCGAAGAAGGGGCAGGGAUCCCACAGCAGUCGCACCACAAGGCUGGUCUCCCGCCUCCUGGUCCCCACCCUCUGGAGAAGCACACCCAGUUCUAGUGGACUAAAUGGGACACAAGGAAGCGUGAUGUGCCACAGUGCAGGGCAGGCCCAGCACUGUGGCAGCGGAAUACCUGAAAUGGAAGUGCAGCAGGACUGUGAUCAGCGAGGCCACGAUGGAGAUGCUGCAGCCCACGAGGGAGAUGUACGUAAGAGGUGCCAGCAACUCUGCAGGGACCAGGGCUGGGGAGAGUUGCUGCAGGAGGGAAGAGGGGCUGGAGGCCAGAAGCAUAGUAUCGCCCUUCCUCCCAGCCUCAGUCAGAGGGACCUCCUGAGGCCUCCUCUCCAAGUCCCCUUCCCCACAAGCCUAGCCAUGGACCUGGCUUGAACAAGGCCAUGGCAGAUACAGUCAGUUUUGCCCCCUCCACAUCUCCCAUCUCCCUCUUCUUCUAUGAGUGCCUCCCUUCUCCCACUCCCUAUGCACCUGUGGGGUUCCACCACUUUGCCCUCUUUGUGCAGAAAGGGGUGCCAGGCCUGGUCAAGCAGGGCCCUCCCUCCUUCUGCCUAUAGCGAUUGGGUCAGGGAUGAGCACAUGGCUGGCAGAACUGGGUAAAAGAAGAUUUUAUUCCACUGGCCUGAAAGCUAGCAGGGCAUGAGCCUGGAACUGCUGCCAGCUAUAUUAUUAUCUCAUAAGGAGAUCCUAUUUGAGGGCUAAGCCAGCACAGAGCAAGCACAGUUGAGGGACAAAGAUAGAGUGCUAUCUUAGUGAUCUUAGUGAUCAGCCCGUGGAUCAAGCCAUGCCUGAAGCCUAACCCAGCCUUUCCAGAAACAUGAGUCCAUAAAGUUUUUUUUGUUUUUUGCUUAAGCCCAUUUCAGUUGGACUUUCUGUCCCUUGCACCAGCUUUUGCCUUGCUCCUCUGCCACAGACACAGGGCCCUCUGUAGCUCUGAGCCCCACUCAGGAUGCAUACAUACCAUGAGAACAGCAAAGUAGGUGAGGUGGUUGCAGCGGCAGAGCACCUGAGAGUGGGAGGGCUGCUCUGUACGACAGCCCUCAGGGCUCCAGCCCCCCCAGGGCUGUUUCCUGGCUCCCUCCUUCCAGAAGACACAGGUCAGGGUGUAGCCUUCCUGGGUGGAGAUGCUGGGUCAGUCAUAGGGUGCAGAGGAAAGGCUGCAGAUCAGUGUCUGGGAGUCCUGGGGGCCAACGGUGACUCAACUGCACAUUUGCCAACAUUUUACCAGGCACUGGCUGGCCUUUGGCUUCAGACAGUCUCAGAUUCCUGUCCCACCUCCACUGUGGGCUCUCAGAGUGACCCAGGCAAGACACCAAGUUGCUCUGAGCCUCAGUUUAGUCAUCUACAGAAUAGGAUCAUUCGUACCCAUGUUACAACAAUGGUGGAAAAACAAAGGGCAACACGGAAUCUUGAGUGUCCAGCUCUGGCCUUUUAUACAGUAGGCGCUCCAUAACCAGCUGAUCCCUUCCCUUCCUCCCCAUGGGGAACAGCAAUGUGCUCAGACCCACGCCUGGUUGGGGGAGACUCAUCCACAGACAACCCUAAUGCCAAGCCACGUGGGUGGAGAAGUGGAGGAAAUGACACAGGUAGUCACGGAAGACCAUGGAGGGUAGGCAGAGCUGACCCAAAGGGAGAAGGGGAGGUGGGGGCCCUGAACCCUUAGAGGACGUGUUGGAUUUCAACACGAGUAGGGCAAGGGCAUUCCAGGUGGAGGGAACCAUAGUGGCAAAAGCCCAGAGCUGAAAGGAAAGGAUGAUGGUGAAAUUUAGAGUGCAGGGCAGUCCUGGUGAAGCUGAAGGGAAGAUGAAGCCAGAAAGCAGAGGCUCCGGGCUUUUCAGGAAUGCCAGGAACCAGAAAUGGAGGCACUGAGGCUUGUGAACCACCCCACUCUGCCCCCACCCCCAACAAGCAGCCCUGUCUCUGUUCCAGGAUCAGCAUCUGCACUUACCCUAGGAGCUCACUCCUUCACCCCAGUCCCUGGGCCGUGUGACCCAGGCCUGGCCAAUCCACACAUUCCAUCCCCCUGGGCACAGUGACAGGUGCAGGGAUGGACAUGUGUGACCCAGCUGAACCUUUAAGAUCCUGAGACCCUGAUCUGCACUGGGGCAGGUUGUGGGUGGGGAGUCGGGGGAAGAGCCUGAUGGGAAGAGGGAAAGGAAGUCUGGCUCUCCAGCAUCCAUCAUGCCACAGAAUGGACAGCCAAGACAGGAGACCAUUGCUGAGACGGAGAGAGACUGAGCCACAAGGGCAUCAGAUCCAUCCCUGGAUCCAGCUAUGUCUGAAGCUGGUGGAUCACCUCUAGACAUUUCAUGGAUGUGUGCCAAUCAGUUCCCUCUGUGCUCAAGCUGGCUUGAAGUGGUCUUUUCUUACUUGCAACUGAAAGAAUUCUGACAAAUGCAUG